GUUUGCUUCUCAUAAGGUUUUCAAGAAUUCACUAUGUUUAAUUCGCCUGAUUUACUUUUUGCUGCCUGUGAUUUUCCCUGUAUAACAUUUAUGUCUAUUUGUGUCAUACUGUUUGGAACUCCCUUGCUAUAUAUGGUAUUUGUUUGACAAAUUAUUCGGAAAAUAUUUGAUCAAAGCUAUUCUUAGUAUUCAGUUAAGGAAACUGGGGGAGUAGGGUGAGGGUAGGAUUAAUUGCUGGUGAUCAUUCUCUUAGGGGUUUUUGCUGGUCAAAGUGGCUUCAUUGUUAUGCUGAUUAUCUUCAUACAAACAGGUGAUUCAUACCUUGUUGCCGG
rnacentral:misc_RNA from 1 species